UACGUAGGGAGCAAGCGUUGUCCGGAAUCAUUGGGCGUAAAGCGCGCGUAGGUGGCCUCAUAAGUCCGCUGUGAAAGUCACAGGCUCAACCUGUGAAUGCCGCUGGAAACUGUCUGGCUAGAGUCCGGAAGGGGCGAGUGGAAUUCCUGGUGUAGCGGUGAAAUGCGCAGAUAUCAGGAGGAACACCAAUGGCGAAGGCAGCUCGCUGGAACGGUACUGACGCUGUGGCGCGAAAGCGUGGGGAGCAAACAGG
rnacentral:rRNA from 1 species